GUAACAUUCAGACCGUCGCGUCGGUCUUCCAAGCAAUAUCACCCGCUCGGUGGAGGAUCUUCCCUUUGCCGU
rnacentral:pre_miRNA from 1 species